ACUAAUAUGGCAGAAGAAGUGCAAUGAAUUUAAGCUUCAUUAAUAAAGAUUAUAUCUUUUUUUAGUA
rnacentral:tRNA from 2 species